CAGGAGUCGAAGCUACAUUGACAUGAUCGUUAACAUUCGUCAGCCUUUCUGUCUCGACACCCACACUGUUUAAUUUCACCAAUCGAUUUAAGUUCUUGAAAGUUUUUGGAAAGAUUUUUCAUCAGCCGAACAACUGUCAUGCUGUUAAACGACAGUACAUCUUUCACAGCCGCCACUUUGACGAAGCCAGAAAACCGAACGCUCCACCAGAAGCAGAAGAUCAAGAGACAUCCAGCGGUUCUGUGAAGCAGGAAUCCAAUGAAGGGCAGCCGAGCAUCCAGCAGCUUCUUUCUGUCUGAUCCCAACAUAAUCAGAGCUUUGUUCUGCAGAAGAAUGGCGCUUUAUGACUCCUUUCAGAUACAUUAAUCUGUGCUGUGUCAUUGAUAGACAGCUGAAUAGGAUCUGACAUCAUCAGAGGAACAUGACCAUUUCACUGCUUAGAAGAAACAGAAAAGAGCAUGUUUUUCUGAUGUUUCUGACAUGUUGAUGAUGCUGACAAGUGAUUAAUGACAACAUUUUCAUUUUGGGGUGGAGUAUACCUUUAAGCUAGUAUAUGUGCAGUUUUCCAGUCGGCACGCAUGCAAACUGUACAGUGAGUGUUCGCUGAGGACUGAACUGUUGAAAACUAAACAGACGGCGCUCAGGAAGCUUAAGAAUUCUGCUGUGGAGGCUAAAAUAAAGCGCCAUUUAUAUUGAAA